GAUUAACCAGACGUCAGUGUCUUGAUCUGUGAUUAUACAGAAGACUGGUGUGGAUCUCAUGCUUCUUCAGAGAGAAUAAAGGUUAAUGGACCGGAGAUGAUGUGUGACGGACCAAAUCUGAAGAUUCAGAAGCAACUGAACAACAAAAACCAGGAGAACAGAGAGAAAAACUCACAAUCUGAAGAAUUAAAGAAGAAAAGAUCCAUGAUGUUUUAUCAUCAGGACAGUGUGGAGCCAAAAAGACCAAACUUCUGUCAUGAUGAAGCUGUAGAGAGUCAUUCACUGAGAGACACUGACAGAUGAAAUAUAAACCACUGACAGAAACUACUGACGUGUGCAGCUGGAACUGAUGGAAGAAGAACUUUAAUAAAGCAAUAAUAAUCAUAAUAAUAAAGGACACAAACAGGACAGAGAUGUUGGAUGAGACUACAUCAUCCUAGAGACUCUGUACAGGACGAGCGGAGCGAAGGACGGAUGAAUGGACCUUCAAAAGUG